rnacentral:tRNA from 2 species
AGGGGAGUAGCUCAAUUGGUUAGAGCACUGGUUUCCAAAACCAGGGGUUGCGAGUUCGAGUCCCGCCUCCCCUGC